GAUGAACGCUGGCGGCGCGCCUAACACAUGCAAGUCGAACGAUUAAAGCACCUUCGGGUGUGUAUAAAGUGGCGAACGGCUGAGUAACACGUGGGCAACCUGCCCCUCUCAUUGGGAUAGCCACGGGAAACCGUGGAUAAUACCGAAUACUUCGAGUCUCCCGCAUGGAAGACUCGAGAAAGCUCCGGCGGAGAGGGAUGGGCCCGCGGCCUGUUAGCUUGUUGGUGGGGUAACGGCCUACCAAGGCAAUGAUGGGUAGCUGGGUUGAGAGACCGACCAGCCAGAUUGGGACUGAGACACGGCCCAGACUCCUACGGGAGGCAGCAGUGGGGAAUCUUGCACAAUGGGCGAAAGCCUGAUGCAGCGACGCCGCGUGCGGGAUGAAGGCCUUCGGGUUGUAAACCGCUUUCAGCAGGGACGAGGCGAAAGUGACGGUACCUGCAGAAGAAGCCCCGGCUAACUACGUGCCAGCAGCCGCGGUAAUACGUAGGGGGCAAGCGUUAUCCGGAUUCAUUGGGCGUAAAGCGCUCGUAGGCGGUCUGUUAGGUCGGGAGUUAAAUCCGGGGGCUCAACCCCCGUUCGUUCCCGAUACCGGCAGACUUGAGUUUGGUAGGGGAAGGUGGAAUUCCUAGUGUAGCGGUGGAAUGCGCAGAUAUUAGGAAGAACACCAGUGGCGAAGGCGGCCUUCUGGGCCAUAACUGACGCUGAGGAGCGAAAGCUAGGGGAGCAAACAGG
rnacentral:rRNA from 1 species